GCAGAGGUAGCCAAGCUUGGCCAACGGCGCAGGACUUAGGAUCCUGUCCCUAGCGGUCCAUGGGUUCAAAUCCCAUCCUCUGCA
rnacentral:tRNA from 1 species